AGAGUUUGAUCCUGGCUCAGGAUGAACGCUAGCGGCAGGCCUAACACAUGCAAGUCGAGAGUAGAGUUAGCUUGCUAACUUGAGACCGGCGCACGGGUGCGUAACGCGUAUGCAAUCUACCUUGUACAGGGGGAUAGCCCAGAGAAAUUUGGAUUAAUACCCCAUAGUAUAUUUGAAUCGCAUGGUUUAAAUAUUAAAGUUCCAACGGUACAAGAUGAGCAUGCGUCCCAUUAGCUAGAUGGUAAGGUAACGGCUUACCAUGGCAAUGAUGGGUAGGGGUCCUGAGAGGGAGAUCCCCCACACUGGUACUGAGACACGGACCAGACUCCUACGGGAGGCAGCAGUGAGGAAUAUUGGUCAAUGGACGCAAGUCUGAACCAGCCAUGCCGCGUGCAGGAAGACGGUCCUAUGGAUUGUAAACUGCUUUUAUACAGGAAGAAACAACUCUACGUGUAGAGUCUUGACGGUACUGUAGGAAUAAGGAUCGGCUAACUCCGUGCCAGCAGCCGCGGUAAUACGGAGGAUCCAAGCGUUAUCCGGAAUCAUUGGGUUUAAAGGGUCCGUAGGCGGCCUUAUAAGUCAGUGGUGAAAUCUCCUAGCUCAACUAGGAAACUGCCAUUGAUACUGUAGGGCUUGAAUUCUUAUGAAGUAACUAGAAUAUGUAGUGUAGCGGUGAAAUGCUUAGAUAUUACAUGGAAUACCAAUUGCGAAGGCAGGUUACUAAUAAGACAUUGACGCUGAUGGACGAAAGCGUGGGGAGCGAACAGGAUUAGAUACCCUGGUAGUCCACGCCGUAAACGAUGGAUACUAGCUGUUCGGACGCAAGUUUGAGUGGCUAAGCGAAAGUGAUAAGUAUCCCACCUGGGGAGUACGCACGCAAGUGUGAAACUUAAAGGAAUUGACGG
rnacentral:rRNA from 1 species